UACCCGGUAGGUCAAUUGGUAGCUAAAGAUUGUUAAUCAUUAGGUCGUGGUUCAAGCCCGUCCCGGGAAG
rnacentral:tRNA from 1 species